UGGGGAAUCUUCGACAAUGGGGGAAACCCUGAUCUAGCCAUGCCGCGUGAUCGAUGAAGGCCUUAGGGUUGUAAAGAUCUUUCAGAUGGGAAGAUAAUGACUGUACCAUCAGAAGAAGCCCCGGCUAACUCCGUGCCAGCAGCCGCGGUAAUACGGAGGGGGCUAGCGUUAUUCGGAAUUACUGGGCGUAAAGCGCACGUAGGCGGACUGGAAAGUUGGGGGUGAAAUCCCGGGGCUCAACCCCGGAACUGCCUUCAAAACUCUCAGUCUUGAGUUCGAGAGAGGUGAGUGGAAUUCCGAGUGUAGAGGUGAAAUUCGUAGAUAUUCGGAGGAACACCAGUGGCGAAGGCGGCUCACUGGCUCGAUACUGACGCUGAGGUGCGAAAGCGUGGGGAGCAAACA
rnacentral:rRNA from 1 species